rnacentral:lncRNA from 1 species
CAACUUGUUGGGUCAUACCCAUAGGUGCUUCAACCAUAGUCUAUACUUGGUUGAUGUAUAGGGAGUUCAUUUCAGAAGGCAUGGUUUCAAGCCAUCUGUCAGAGUCUCUACUUAUGACAAUCUCUGAAUAGGUCAAAGAAAUAUUAUUCACAAUAAUGUAUGGUGUAUAGUCAUUCUCAAUGACAAAUCCAUAUUUGAGUGGUACAUUACGUACUCGAAUUGACCUUUAGUGAGGAGGUGUGUUUCAUGGUUGUGCCUCAUCAAUGAGCACAUAUGAUCGAGAGUCAA